AUACAUGCAGUCGAGCGAACGGACGAGAAGCUUGCUUCUCUGAUGUUAGCGGCGGAGGGUGAGUAACACGUGGAUACCUACCUAUAAGACUGGGAUAACUUCGGGAAACCGGAGCUAAUACCGGAUAAUAUUUUGAACCGCAGGUUCAAAAGUGAAAGACGGUCUUGCUGUCACUUAUAGAUGGAUCCGCGCUGCAUUAGCUAGUUGGUAAGGUAACGGCUUACCAAGGCAACGAUGCAUAGCCCACCUGAGAGGGUGAUCGGCCACACUGGAACUGAGACACGGUCCAGACUCCUACGGGAGGCAGCAGUAGGGAAUCUUCCGCAGUGGGCGAAAGCCUGACGGAGCAACGCCGCGUGAGUGAUGAAGGUCUUCGGAUCGUAAAACUCUGUUAUUAGGGAAGAACAUAUGUGUAAGUAACUGUGCACAUCUGGACGGUACCUAAUCAGAAAGCCACGGCUAACUACGUGCCAGCAGCCGCGGUAAUACGUAGGUGGCAAGCGUUAUCCGGAAUUAUUGGGCGUAAAGCGCGCGUAGGCGGUUUUUUAAGUCUGAUGUGAAAGCCCACGGCUCAACCGUGGAGGGUCAUUGGAAACUGGAAAACUUGAGUGCAGAAGAGGAAAGUGGAAUUCCAUGUGUAGCGGUGAAAUGCGCAGAGAUAUGGAGGAACACCAGUGGCGAAGGCGACUUUCUGGUCUGUAACUGACGCUAAUGUGCGAAAGCGUGGGGAUCACACAGGAUUAGAUACCCUGGUAGUCCACGCCGUACACGAUGAGUGCUAAGUGUUAGGGGGUUUCCGCCCCUUAGUGCUGCAGCUAACGCAUUAAGCACUCCGCCGGGGGAGUACGACCGCAGGGUUGAAACUCAAAGGAAUUGACGGGGACCCGCACAAGCGGUGGAGCAUGUGGUUUAAUUCGAAGCAACGCGGAGAACCUUACCAAAUCUUGACAUCCUUUGACAACUCUUGAGAUAGAGCUUUCCCCUUCGGGGGACAAGUGACAGGUGGUGCAGGGUUUCCUCCCCUCGUGUCCGGGAAUGUGGGUUAAUCCCGCACCAGGGCACCCUUAGGCUUAUUUGCC
rnacentral:rRNA from 1 species